rnacentral:rRNA from 1 species
UACGUAGGCAGCGAGCGUUGUUCGGAGUUACUGGGCGUAAAGGGUGUGUAGGCGGUUUCUAAGUUUUGGUGUGAAAUCUCCCGGCUCAACCGGGAGGGUGCGCCGAAAACUGGGAGACUAGAGUGCGGGAUGGGAGAGUAGAAUUCCUGGUGUAGCGGUGAAAUGCGUAGAUAUCAGGAGGAAUACCGGUGGUGUAGACGGCUCUCUGGACCGCCACUGACGCUGAGACACGAAAGCGUGGGGUAGCAAACAGGG